UACAGAGGGGGCAAGCGUUGUUCGGAAUUACUGGGCGUAAAGGGCGCGUAGGCGGCCUGUUAAGUCGGACGUGAAAUCCCUCGGCUCAACCGGGGAACUGCGUCUGAUACUGGCGGGCUUGAAUUCGGGAGAGGGAUGUGGAAUUCCAGGUGUAGCGGUGAAAUGCGUAGAUAUCUGGAGGAACACCGGUGGCGAAGGCGGCGUUCUGGACUGCAACUGACACUGAGGAACGAAAGCCAGGGGAGCGAACGGG
rnacentral:rRNA from 1 species